UGCCUCAGCAAAUAUGAUGCACUUGACGUUCAGAGUAGUUUCUUGGAUGAGGAGAUCCGUGCCUGAGUGUUUACAUGGCACUGUUUCUGAUUGCCAGUUGAUACUCUUUCCCGUCACCCUCCGGGGGCCAAGCCAGCCAUGGGCAGGGCUAGCCAGCUCCCUCGCUCCUUCUGUGCUGGUGCUUUUUCAUGCACACUCUUUCCUCUUUCUAAGGUAAGUUCUCCAAAGAAAAUAGGGUGCUUGGAACAAACACACAAUUAAAUAUGGAAGAUGAGAGAAGGGAGAAGACAAACUUGUCACCUUGAAUCUGGGCACAUACGACAGCACCUGGAUUGAAGAUGGCCAAGGAGAGAAGGAAGAGGCGGAGCAAAAGAACACCCCGUCCUGCCCGUCCUGCCCCAGGUGGAUACGAGCACUGCACCUGUGUCAUAGAUGAGGCAUCUGACGCUGAUUGAGGUUACCCAAGGGACGCUCCAAGUUGCUGCGAAGUGUACAGGGCUGAUGUCUCCCACCAGCGCUUUCUGCUCCCAUCCAUACCGCUCGGUCGCGAUCUUUUAUAUGAUAACUCAUACCUCUCAGUUGCAUGGCCCACAUUUCCCAGUUCGCCCUGGAGGGAAAACAAGGCCAUGUCAACAGAAAUAAAGAAUGUUUCUCUGCCUCUGCA